AUGCUCUCCACGUCCACGGCCCUAUUUUCUUUCACCAAACCCUCCUGCGAGCAAAAAAAACCUCCACUGCCGAAAUCCUCUCCGGCUCUCCCCCUUCCUGCGAUGGCCGGCGGCGGCGGUUCCCCUUCCCCGGCGGCGGCCGCCCCCGCGGCCGUCCAGGUGCGCUGCGCCGGCUGCCGCGGCGUCCUCGCCGUGGCCCCCGGCAUGACCGAGUUCAUCUGCCCCAAAUGCCGCAUGGCGCAGCGCCUUCCCCCGGAGCUCAUGCCCUCCUCCUCCCCGCCCAAGGCGUCCCCUACCCCGCCUCCGCCCCAGCCCCCUCCCCUUCCUCCUCAGCCUCACUCUCAGCCGGCGCCUCCCCCUCCGCCUCUCCCUGCUGCUUCCCGCCGCUCCGGGCCGCGGGCGCAGGGCGUGGACCCCACCAAGAUCCAGCUGCCCUGCGCGCGCUGCAAGGCCAUCCUCAACGUGCCGCACGGCCUCGCCCGCUUCCGCUGCCCGCAGUGCGACGUCGACCUCGCCGUCGACAUCUCCAAGCUCCAGCAUUUCCUUGCCGCCGCCGCCCCUGGGCCGGGCUUCGUUCCUCCACCGCCUCCGCCCGCGCCCCCAGUCCCAAUGCCGCACAUGCCCUUCCUACCGAUGAUGCCGCCGCCGCGCAUGCCGAUGGCCCCAAUGGUCCCGCCGCCCGAGCCGCCGGAGGAGAUCAACGAGGUUGCGUUUGACGUUGAGCGCGAGGAAGACGAAGGUGACACUGUUGGUGAAACUUUCAUGGACUAUAGGCCUCCUAAGCUGUCUCUUGGUCUUCCUCAUCCGGACCCUGUGGUAGAGACUUCAUCUUUAUCAGCGGUGCAGCCUCCUGAACCUACUUACAGCCUGGCUAUUAUGGAUGAAUUGGAUGAGACCAGGGCAUUGUCAUGCUUACAGAUUGAGACAAUAGUGUAUGCUUGUCAGAGGCAUCUUCACCAUCUCCCUACUGGUGCUAGAGCAGGUUUCUUCAUCGGUGAUGGAGCCGGUGUUGGUAAAGGGCGUACAAUUGCUGGAUUGAUCUGGGAGAAUUGGCAACAGGGGAGGCAUAAGGCAUUGUGGAUUUCCAUUGGUUCAGACUUGAAAUAUGAUGCCCGCAGAGAUCUGGAUGAUGUUGGUGCAAAAUGUGUGCAAGUGCACGCGUUGAACAAGCUGCCAUAUUCUAAGUUAGACUCAAAGGCCACUGGGAUCACAGACGGAGUUGUUUUUGUAACUUAUAGCAGUUUAAUAGCAUCCUCUGAGAAAGGGUAUUCACGUUUGCGGCAGCUGGUAGAGUGGUGUGGAUCUGAGUACGAUGGUCUUGUGGUGUUUGAUGAGUGCCACAAGGCUAAAAAUCUGAUUCCUGAGGCAGGAGGUCAGCCCACUCGCACUGGUAAAUCAGUUCUUGAGAUCCAGGAAAUGUUACCUGAAGCUCGAGUGGUUUACUGCUCAGCAACUGGUGCAUCAGAGCCUCGGAAUUUAGGCUACAUGGUCCGGCUUGGUCUCUGGGGGGACGGAACAUCAUUUCAGAGUUUUCACCAAUUUCUAGGUGCUCUUGAGAAAGGUGGUGUGGGUGCCCUUGAACUUGUUGCUAUGGACAUGAAAGCUAGGGGCAUGUAUGUUUGCCGCACACUUAGUUAUAAGGGUGUUGAUUUUGAUGUUGUGGAGGCACCUCUAGAGGACAGAAUGAUGAAUAUGUACAGAAAGGCAGCUGAAUUUUGGGCUGAGUUACGUGUUGAGCUCCUAUCGGCAAAUGAGUACUAUGCAGAAGACAAGAGCAAUUCGGCUCAGAUAUGGCGGUUAUACUGGGCCAGCCAUCAGCGUUUCUUUAGGCAUAUGUGUAUGUCUGCAAAGGUACCUGCUGUUGUGAAGUUGGUGAAGGAAGCCUUAGCAGAAGAAAGAUGUGUGGUGGUUGGUCUCCAGAGCACUGGUGAAGCUCGAACAGAGGAAGCUAUCACAAAAUAUGGUGUUGAAAUGGAAGACUUCAUUUCUGGCCCUAGAGAGUUGCUUCUUAAGCUGGUAGAAGAUAACUAUCCCUUGCCUCCAAAACCUGAUUGUUCUCAGCAAGGUGAAGACAAGGUUACGGAGGUCCAGCGUAAGCGGCAUUAUGGACCCGAUGUAUCCUUAAAAGGACGAGUUAGGAAACUCGCAAAAAUGGAAGAUAGUGAUGAUGGAAUGGAUGCGCACUCUCCAUUGGAGUCAGACCAUGAAUUAACAGAUUCUGAAGAGGAAUUGCAUAUGUGUCAGAUCUGCAAUACCGAGGAGGAGAAGAGCCUGUUGCUUCAUUGUUCCAAUUGUGCUACAAGUGUUCACCCUGGCUGUCCAAUUCCACCAUGGACUGGAACGUUGACAGAUGAUUGGUUAUGUUAUGCAUGCAAGGAGAUAAUAGAAGGCUAUUUUAAAGAGAGAGAUGCUUACAUGGCUGAACUAUCAAAGAGAUAUGACAGUGCAGUGGACAGGAAGUCAAAGAUUUUAGAAAUCAUCCGUGCUUUAGAUUUGCCUAAUAAUCCUCUAGAUGAUAUCAUUGAUCAGCUAGGUGGUCCAGACAAUGUUGCAGAAAUAACUGGAAGGCGUGGCAUGCUAAUAAGAGCAUCAGAUGGAAAAGGUGUUGUUUACCAGGCGCGGAACACGAAAGAAAUUGCAUUGGACAUGAUCAAUAUGCAUGAAAAGCAGCUAUUCAUGGACGGAGAAAAGUUCAUCGCAAUAAUAUCGGAAGCAGGAUCAGCUGGUGUUUCCUUACAUGCUGAUCGAAGGGUAAAAAAUCAGAGAAGAAGAGUACACAUAACACUUGAACUUCCUUGGAGUGCAGACCGUGCAACCCAGCAGUUUGGGAGAACACAUCGUUCUAAUCAAACUUCUGCACCUGUAUAUAGGAUUCUUUUUACCAACCUUGGUGGUGAAAAACGAUUUGCAUCAAUUGUGGCAAAGCGACUAGAGUCUCUUGGAGCUUUAACACAAGGAGAUCGAAGAGCUGGACCAUCACUUAGUGCUUUUAACUAUGACAGCAGUUAUGGAAAAAAGGCCCUGACAUUGAUGUACAGGGGUAUAAUGGAACAGGAUGCAUUUCCAGUUGUGCCUUUGGGAUGCUCUGAGAAUCAAUCUAGUCUCCAAGAAUUCAUCACUAGAUCAAAAGCUGCGUUAGUGGCAGUUGGAAUUAUCAGGGAUGCUGUAAUCUGCAUUGGAAAACAUGGAGGAAAGCUUACUGGUAGGAUUGUUGAUUCUGAUAUGCAUGAUGUGGCCCGUUUCCUCAACCGUAUUCUGGGAUUAGCUCCAAACAUCCAGAAUAGGUUAUUUGAUCUCUUCACAAGCAUACUCGACGUAGUAAUUCAGAAUGCACGAAGUGAAGGACGGCUUGAUUCUGGUAUUGUUGAUAUUAAAGCAAAAAGGGUUGAAAUGAAAGAACCGCCGAAGACAGUUCACGUUGAUAGCCUAUCUGGUGCUUCCACGGUAUUGUUCACUCUUACAAUUGACCGGGGAGUUACUUGGGAGUCGGCUAAGGCAAUGCUUGAAGAAAGGCAGAAAGAUGGUGCGUGUUCUUCUAAUGAAGGGUUUUACGAGUCCCGGAGAGAGUGGAUGGGCAGAAGGCAUUUCAUACUAGCGUUUGAAGGCUCAACGGAAGGAAUGUACAGAGUAACUCGCCCUGCCGUUGGGGAAGCUUCGAAGGAGAUGCCUUUGGCUGAACUAGAAGGAAAGUACAAGAAGGCCUCAUCGUCUGGCAAAACUGGGGAAGGCUGGCAGGAAGAAUAUGAUGUGUCGUCCAAGCAGUGCAUGCAUGGGCCCAAGUGCAGACUUGGAAGCGAUUGUACUGUGGGCAGAAGGUUACAGGAGAUUAAUGUUUUGGGUGGUCUAAUACUUCCUGUGUGGGGCGCGGUAGAAAAGGCCCUGAAUAAGCAGGCCCGACAGGCUCACAAGAGGAUACGUGUCGUACGCCUGGAGACAACAGAUGACAACCAUCGGAUUGUUGGGCUAGUCAUUCCAAACACAGCAGUCGAGUCAGUGUUAGAAGGUCUGCAGUGGGUCCAGGACAUCGACGAAUGA
rnacentral:rRNA from 1 species